rnacentral:rRNA from 1 species
ACUCAAAGGAAUUGACGGGGGCCCGCACAAGCAGCGGAGCGUGUGGUUUAAUUCGAGGCUACACGAAGAACCUUACCCAGGUUUGACAUGCGGGUGGUAGGGAAGGGAAACCGGACCGACCGCAAGGAGCUCGCACAGGUGCUGCAUGGCUGUCGUCAGCUCGUGUCGUGAGAUGUUCGGUUAAGUCCGAAAACGAGCGCAACCCCCGGGUCUAGUUACACGUGUCUAGACCGACUGCCCGUGAGAAACGGGAGGAAGGUGGGGAUGACGUCAAGUCAGCAUGGCCUUUAUGCCUGGGGCAACACACACGCUACAAUGGGCGGUACAAUAGGUCGCGAACCCGCGAGGGGGAGCCAAUCUAGGAAAGCCGUUCACAGUUCGGAUUGCAGGCUGCAACUCGCCUGCAUGAAGCUGGAGUUGCUAGUAACCGCGCGUCAGCCAUAGUGCGGUGAAUACGUUCCCGGGCCUUGUACACACCGCCCGU